rnacentral:rRNA from 1 species
GAUGAACGCUGGCGGCGUGCCUAAUACAUGCAAGUCGAGCGAACGGACGAGAAGCUUGCUUCUCUGAUGUUAGCGGCGGACGGGUGAGUAACACGUGGAUAACCUACCUAUAUGACUGGGAUAACUUCGGGAAACCGGAGCUAAUACCGGAUAAUAUUUUGAACCGCAUGGUUCAAGAGUGAAAGACGGUCUUGCUGUCACUUAUAGAUGGAUCCGCGCUGCAUUAGCUAGUUGGUAAGGUAACGGCUUACCAAGGCAACGAUGCAUAGCCGACCUGAGAGGGUGAUCGGCCACACUGGAACUGAGACACGGUCCAGACUCCUACGGGAGGCAGCAGUAGGGAAUCUUGCGCAAUGGGCGAAAGCCUGACGGAGCAACGCCGCGUGAGUGAUGAAGGUCUUCGGAUCGUAAAACUCUGUUAUUAGGGAAGAACAGAUGUGUAAGUAACUGUGCACAUCUUGACGGUACCUAAUCAGAAAGCCACGGCUAACUACGUG